AUGUAGCUCAAUAAGUUGAGCAUUUGCCUAGCAUGCAGAAGGUUCUGGGUUCCAUCCCCAGCAU
rnacentral:tRNA from 1 species